rnacentral:lncRNA from 1 species
GGAAUAGAGGCAGCAGGUAGUGUAGUUGUCUCAGGGUGAAUGUGAACCUGACCAGUAGCUGAAGAUAUCAAUCCCAGCAGGACAACUGCUGAUGAAACCUCGUGUAAGGUAUCCAAACUGCCCAGCACUACAAAUUAGUAAACAUCUACAGUAUAUGAACAAAAGCUAUAUUAAAACUAAUGUAAAACUCGGAAGACGCAUGCAGCAUCAUCUGCUAUUUUAUUUAUGUCACAGAUGACACAUUCACAUUUUACGACAUCAAGCAGAACAUUGUGCAGUACCAACAUGCAGGAGCGAGCACUGAGGAUGACAUCAUGACCUUCAUCAUGACCUAUGGCUCAUAUGUGGCUUUGACCACGGUGAAGAUCAAAGUUCUGUUGGAAAAAGGCAGUGGUAGACCCCAGCCGGACCCCAGCAUGUUGCUGUCCGUGGAUGUCUCAGAGAAAAGCAGCACCCCAUUAAAUCACACACACCUGGCCUAUAUGGAUGACAACUCUCCAGAUGACAAGAUCAUUUUCCAGCUGGUCUUGUUGCCCAAGCAUGGCUUCCUUACCAAUAAUGACUGUGUGUCAGGCCACGGGGAACUGAGAGAGAACUCCUCCUUCACCAUGGAGGAUGUCAACAACAACAGAAUAUGGUACACUGUUUCAUCUGAGACCAGCAGUUUUCCUAUAAGUGACGCAUUCCACUUCACAGUCUGUGAUGAGGACAACAACUGCCUUUACAACCAGAUGUGCAUUAUCACAGUCACAUCUGUAAAGAGGCAACCUCCUGAGAAUACCAUACGCAGUGAAAUCCAGACCACGGAAGACAGAGGCCCAGUUAUUUCCAUGAAGAACAUGCUUUUGAAAAAGAACCAUAAGCAGGUCACCACCAACUCCUCCCUGAGCACACUGGACCUGGAUUCUAAAGGGAAAGAUCUCAUCUUCACUGUUGCCAAGCAGUCAUCUUCCGGCAAGGAGCAUAGACGAUGGUUUUCCUCCAAGCCACUGCAGGAGGGUCAUGUCUUGUACAACAGCACCACAUCGCAAGCAAGAGAGAGCAACAGCCCUGAAAUGGAGGUCAACCGAAAUCUUCAGCUUUCUGCAGGGAGACACAUUCCUACUUUCACUCAAGAUGACAAGGACACCUUGUGGGACAGGCAUAGUGAGAUGUUUUACGUUACCACCCAGCCCAGAGAAGGCCCUGCACCACUGCAUGCAAUUUCAGAAACACAGCUCCGGAGACGAGUGAAGAAGACUGCCCCAGAGCUUGUGCUCAAAGCCACGCGUGAAGAAACAGAGGUAGAGUCUUUGCAUACAAUA